AAGUCGAGGGGAACGGCAUCAAGCGCUUGCGCCUGAUGGACGUCGACCGGCGCACGGGUGAGUAACGCGUAUCCAACCUGCCCCACACUAAGGGAUAACCCGCAGAAAUGUGGACUAAUACCUUAUAUUUUCCACCAAGGGCAUCGUCGAUGGAACAAAGAUUUAUCGGUAUGGGAUGGGGAUGCGUCCGAUUAGGUUGUUGGCGGGGUAACGGCCCACCAAGCCUUCGAUCGGUAGGGGUUCUGAGAGGAAGGUCCCCCACAUAGGAACUGAGACACGGUCCUAACUCCUACGGGRGGCAGCAGUGAGGAAUAUUGGUCAAUGGGCGUGAGCCUGAACCAGCCAAGUAGCGUGCAGGAAGACGGCCCUAUGGGUUGUAAACUGCUUUAUGCGGG
rnacentral:rRNA from 1 species